UGCAGGAGCAUAUAUACCUCAUGAUACUAUUUUUAUGAAGCUCAUUAACAGCCUAUUAACAUUAAUUCAUUAAUGGAAUGAAUCUAUAUAAGUAGAGGUCAGUAUAGGAGUUAUCUUUUUUUGGGUUGUAGUUGACUGAGAUGGCAAGAAGAAGGUUUAUGGGGUAUUUGUAAGAUUUUUUUCUCUAUUUCUAUAUAAGGUCACAUUCUAAAGUAUUGGGGGUUAGGGCAUUAGCAUAUAUUUUCGGGAAAAACACAGUUCAACCCAUAACAGCAUAUAAUUCCAUUUUUAAAAUCCCAAAAUUACAUCUAGCCUAAAAAGGAAUGAAAUUGAAAUAAAGAUCGCAGAGGCCUGCAGUAAGCCUUGAU
rnacentral:lncRNA from 1 species